rnacentral:pre_miRNA from 1 species
ACGUGUAUGCUCGUAGCUAUAACGUGAAAUGCGAAAUGUUAUUGCUUGAGAAUACACGUAG